GUACCAAACAAGACGCGGUUCACCCUGUUUUUAACGCGAUACGCAUCAAUUGAGCCGAGGCCGUGGCAAUUAACGCGCUUCUCGUCGCCUAUCAAGGAGCCAACCUCGAGAAAAACGCACUUGAACCAAUUUACGACGUGGGAAAACGCGACAGGGUGCAUUUCCCAUCGAUUCGAUCGACAAAUUCUAAAGCGUCGUCAAGGGAUAAUAAUUUAAUUAACAGCAUUGGUAGCAACCGAUGGUUUUACGAGCGAAAGCAAUCUGUCUGCGAGGAUCAGCUCUUUCUUUCUUUCCUUCGAAAUAAAUAGCAGAUAAACCAAAACACAGAGCAAAAAUGGACGAAAGAGUAAAUUUAUUCCUUGCUUCUUACUUUAUUUACAUCUAUCUGUUUACUUGUAACAGAAGUAGUACGAAAGUAAUACGACUCAAGUAGAAUUAUUCUUUCAGUAUAUACUUGAAACUAGCAAUUAUUUCUUCAGUACGUUUUUCGAAACGGCAAAUACAGUAAAUUGAGAUAAGGACGUUAACAGGAAGAUUUCUUAUAUUCGUCUAAUAUCCCGAGACGAGUCAAUAAAGGAAGCGAGCGAGGAAUGAUGACACUGAAAUAUUGAAGUGCAAGAAGAAAUUUCUAAACGCAAAAUAAGAUGAACUAGCGAUGCGAAUAUCGAAUACAGUCGACAGGGAAGAGAGAACGGUGUUACUUGUUCGUUUUCUCUGUCAUAGAAUAAAAAAUAUGAUCAAGGACAACGAAGCGCUUCGAACGUAUUGUGCCGCGUGCGACAAACGCGUCCUCUGGCGUCGCGCAUACUUCUGUUUUGUCAGAAAAGCUUCCUUGACCCGUGACAUCAACUUUUAUCUUCGCGCACGUGGAAAAAAUCAUCGACGUUUAAUUGCGAGAAGGACGGCAGAAGAAAAACGGACGAGAAGAAAAAAUAUCGAAGCUUUCGUUGGUAAUAAGAAGAAAAGGAUUACGGUCCAAUUAAAACACGAUCUUUCCUCGUAAACAAGCAACUUCAUGCUUCACCGUUCGUAGAUAAAACAGUCGCGUAUAUUGAAUUAUCGAUACAACAUACUCAAUCAUUUUUCUCGAUAAUAGUUCGCCUGUUAUUGACACUGGUCACAUGUUUUGCCAACUUGUUGUUUGAACUGUUGACUCAUCGAUAUUUUUUUUUCUUUGUUAUCACGAAUUUAUCGAUUUCGAUAGCCUUGGAAUUAAUUAGACUUUACUUUUUAGUUGGCGUAGCGUCGUCGUUAACGAUAGAUAAUUGACAAAACGGCACGCGAAUGGGUCGAGGCCUCUCCGCAAAAACCAGUUGGUCUGGAAACGAGUUCGUGAGAAUCGGAGAACAGUUAUGCACGACCGAUCUGAGGAAAAAUCGUGAAACGUCAACACCACUCGCUAUGCGUUCAACAGGCACCAUUAUAGUAUCGCGUUUCAGGAAAAGAUUCUUCUGGAUUAAAAAUAGAUGUAAUAAAAAUUAAUGGAAAACGCA